rnacentral:piRNA from 1 species
UAUUUUAGUACUACCUUUUUU